CUUACUAUAUAAUAUUAUAAACUUUUGAUUCGUUAUUGAUGAAUCUAAAAACAUAAAAAUCGUGAUAUAUCAAAGUAAUAGUAGAAUAUAUAUACAGCAUCCAAUUCAAUAAGAAGGAUAAAAUUCAUAUGAAUAUAACGAUAGCUUACGAAGAACAUAUUCCAUUGAUUUUACAAAGAGAGGGCAACAAAAGGUGAAAGGGGACACAUAUUGAGAGUGUGACUACCAUCCAUUAAGACAUAUAAAGAGUAGCCGCUGUGUCUUCUCCUCUCCGGUGAAGGCGCGUCGUCGCCGGAUCUGUGAGGGGAGGGUGUAUAAAAUUUCCCUUUUGGUCAUACGAGUGUUGCGAGCCCAUCGGUGUCUUUCGUUGUGGUGGUUUUCUUCUCGCGUGAUGGGAUUCGGUGGUGCCUCCGUUUUCGGCGGUUUUGAUCUCGUUGAUGGCUAGCCAUUGAAGUCUCAGGUUUCUAGUUUGACGCUAGUGGACGCAGUAGUUGUCGGUCGUCGUAUUCGGAAGUGUGCUCGAGGUUCCCUUAACUCUUUUGUCUUGCUUGCCGGGUUAUGAAGCUUUGGUUCUUGGUUUGGAGAGAUCAGCUCUCAUUUUGAUAGGAGGAGGUAGAUGUUAUCUUCGGGUUGGCCGCGGGCAUCCUUGGUAAAUCUCAAUCGCUUGAGCUUCUGAAGAUUUGGGUUACUUGUCUUCUUGGGUCUUUUGGUUUUUUAAGGUUUAAGUCUCGUGCUUCUUUCUUAGUUUUUGGUUUCGACCUCUUGCGUUUGUGGUUUGAACUCAUUUGCUUUGUUCUAUUACUAUGUUAGUUUCCCUUUUUUAGGGCCUAGCUUCCGGGGAAAUCUCUUUUUCCGCCGGCUUUGUCUCCGGGGACUUUCAUGUCGUCCGCCGGCUUUAGUUUUCCCUUUUUGGGCUUUGUAUUUCACAUUGGUACCAUUUCAAGAUCAAUAAUAUAAUUCUAGAUGACAAAAAAAAAAAAAAAAAAAAA